CUCCUCCUAAAGCGUAACGGAGGAGCACGAAGGUUGGCUAAUCCUGGUCGGACAUCAGGAGGUUAGUGCAAUGGCAUAAGCCAGCUUGACUGCGAGCGUGACGGCGCGAGCAGGUGCGAAAGCAGGUCAUAGUGAUCCGGUGGUUCUGAAUGGAAGGGCCAUCGCUCAACGGAUAAAAGGUACUCCGGGGAUAACAGGCUGAUACCGCCCAAGAGUUCAUAUCGACGGCGGUGUUUGGCACCUCGAUGUCGGCUCAUCACAUCCUGGGGCUGAAGUAGGUCCCAAGGGUAUGGCUGUUCGCCAUUUAAAGUGGUACGCGAGCUGGGUUUAGAACGUCGUGAGACAGUUCGGUCCCUAUCUGCCGUGGGCGCUGGAGAACUGAGGGGGGCUGCUCCUAGUACGAGAGGACCGGAGUGGACGCAUCACUGGUGUUCGGGUUGUCAUGCCAAUGGCACUGCCCGGUAGCUAAAUGCGGAAGAGAUAAGUGCUGAAAGCAUCUAAGCACGAAACUUGCCCCG
rnacentral:rRNA from 1 species